rnacentral:misc_RNA from 1 species
UCCGGUUUGUCACCGGCAGUCUGAAGUGAGUCCCCAACUUAAUGCUGGCAACACUUCACGGGGGUUGCGCUCGUUGCGGGACUUAACCCAACAUCUCACGACACGAGCUGACGACAGCCGUGCACCACCUAUCACAGGCCCCGAAGGACACCGUAUCUCUACGGCUUUUCCUGCGUAGUUCAACCCAGGUAAGGUUCUUCGCGUUGCAUCGAAUUAAGCCACAUGCUCCGCCGCUUGUGCGGGCCCCCGUCAAUUCCUUUGAGUUUUAGCCUUGCGGCCGUACUCCCCAGGCGGGGCACUUAAUGCGUUAGCUCCGGCACGGGAGGAGUCGACACCUCCCACACCUAGUGCCCAUCGUUUACGGCGUGGACUAC